AUAUUGGACAAUGGGGGGAACCCUGAUCCAGCCAUGCCGCGUGUGUGAAGAAGGUCCNNNGAUUGNACAGCACUUUAAGUUGGNAGGNAGAGUUGUAGGCAAAUAGCUUGCAAUUUUGACGUUACCAACAGAAUAAGCACCGGCUACCUUCGUGCCAGCAGCCGCGGUAACAGGAAGGGUGCAAGUGUUACUCGGAAUUACUGGGCGUAAAGCGCGCGUUGGUGGGUCGUUAAGUUAGAAGUGAAAGCCCCGGGCUUAAACUGGGAAUUGCUUUCAAAACUGACGGGCUAGAGUACGGUAGAGGGUAGUGGAAUUUCCUGUGUAGCGGUGAAAUGCGUAGAUAUAGGAAGGAACAUCAGUGGCGAAGGCGACUACCUGGACUGAUACUGACACUGAGGUGCGAAAGCGUGGGGAGCAAACAGG
rnacentral:rRNA from 1 species